rnacentral:rRNA from 1 species
UACGGAGGGUGCGAGCGUUGUCCGGAAUCAUUGGGCGUAAAGAGCGCGUAGGCGGCCCGGUAAGUCAGCUGUGAAAGUCAAAGGCUCAACCUUUGAAUGUCAGCGGAUACUGCCGGGCUAGAGUCCGGAAGAGGCGAGUGGAACUCCUGGUGUAGCGGUGGAAUGCGUAGAUAUCUGGAGGAAUACCGGUGGCGAAGGCGGCAUCCUGGACCGACAUUGACGCUGAACGGCGAAAGCUAGGGGAGCAAACGGG